UACAGAGGUCUCAAGCGUUGUUCGGAUUCAUUGGGCGUAAAGGGUGCGUAAGUGGCGCCGUAAGUCAGGUGUGAAAUUUCGGAGCUUAACUCCGAAACUGCAUUCGAUACUGCCGUGCUUGAGGACUGGAGAGGAGACUGGAAUUUACGGUGUAGCGGUGAAAUGCGUAGAUAUCGUAAGGAAGACCAGUGGCGAAGGCGGGUCUCUGGACAGUUCCUGACGCUGAGGCACGAAGGUCAGGGGAGCAAACAGG
rnacentral:rRNA from 1 species